GCCCGUGUGGCGGAAUUGGUAGACGCACCUGGUUUAGGUCCAGACGCUGCUUUAGCAUGGAGGUUCGAGGCCUCUCACGGGCACCA
rnacentral:tRNA from 1 species